rnacentral:rRNA from 1 species
GAAUUUUAUAUAAUUAAUAAUAAAAUUAUUAAUUUUUUAAAAUAUUAUUAUUUAUAUUUUGUUGGGAGGAUAAUUAAAUUUAGUAAACUUUAAUUUAAAUAAAAUAUUAAUUAAUAAAAAUAUAAGGAAUAUUAUUUUAAUGUAUUAAGAAUUAAUUACCUUAGGGAUAACAGCAUGAAAUUUUUAGAGAGAUCUUAUUAAUAAAAAUAUUUAU